rnacentral:rRNA from 1 species
UGGGGAAUAUUGCACAAUGGGCGAAAGCCUGAUGCAGCAACGCCGCGUGAGUGAUGAAGGUCUUCGGAUUGUAAAGCUCUGUCUUUUGGGACGAUAAUGACGGUACCAAAGGAGGAAGCCACGGCUAACUACGUGCCAGCAGCCGCGGUAAUACGUAGGUGGCGAGCGUUGUCCGGAUUUACUGGGCGUAAAGGGUGCGUAGGCGGAUGUUUAAGUGAGAUGUGAAAUACCCGGGCUUAACUUGGGUGCUGCAUUUCAAACUGGAUAUCUAGAGUGCAGGAGAGGAGAAUGGAAUUCCUAGUGUAGCGGUGAAAUGCGUAGAGAUUAGAAAGAACACCAGUGGCGAAGGCGAUUCUCUGGACUGUAACUGACGCUGAGGCACGAAAGCGUGGGUAGCAAACAGGAUUAGAUACCCUGGUAGUCCACGCCGUAAACGAUGAGUACUAGGUGUAGGAGGUAUCGACCCCUUCUGUGCCGCAGUAAACA